AUGCAGGAACUUGGGCUGAAUGAAGAGGACUUGGAUGAUGUGGUCUUUGAUGAGAAAGAAGCGUCGCCAUUGGAAUCAAGAUGGAUCACGCUGGCUCAGGUCAACACUAGCAAGACCUAUAGUCAGACUUGGUUUUUCAGAAACAUGCGUGCGGCAUGGGACAUAGCGCAACAGGCGAAGUUCAGGCCUCUUGAGGAUAACCUCUAUUCUGUUCAAUUCUCUUGCUUGGGGGACUGGGAG
rnacentral:rRNA from 1 species